AGGCCGGGGGUCACGGCAUCCGGGGGGACGCGCAGCCGCCGCCGCGGCCCGGGGCUCGGCGGUCCAGUCUUCUGCCCGUGGCGCGGCUGGAGCGGCGGCGUCGGCAACAGGCAAGCUUAAAGGAAAAGGAGAUGAUCGUGUCAAUCGCCCGCCCGCGGGGGCGCCGCGCCCCCGCCCCCGGCCCCAGGCCCGCGUGGGACCCCCGCCCCGCCAGCGAAAGGGGUGCCGCCCCUCCGCCUCCGCCCCGUGCGCACACGCGGGGGCGCGGCGCCAGCCCCGCCGAGCCCGUCCCGGGGCGCUCGUUACCCCCCACCCCUAUUCCCACCCAGCGUUCGUCCCCAGCCACCCCCCAGCUGCCCCACCCGGCUCGCACUCCUCUCCACCCGCCGACUCCGGAGCCCCCAGCGUGGUCCCCGGGCCGGGGCUGGCGUCCCCCGGGGAAGCCAGAGCCCACGGGCAGGCCCCCUCCAGGGAGGAGGCGGGCGCGGGCCGGGGCGGGUGGGGGCAGCCCUCAGACCCCGCGCCACCCAGCUCCUCCCCCAGGACCCGCCGUAGCCACUUCCCCCAAUUUUUUUUCCCCGGACAAACUUUCCUGGGCCCGUCCCGGGGGUCGGUGUGGGAGGGGGUUCCUUCAAGUUUCCUCUCCUGACUUUGGGAUGAUCAGGGUCCCUCCACCCCGCCCCUCGCCCCCGGGAGCCGGGCCGCGCCCCCCAUCCACGGCGCGGGCCGAUCCUAGGGCGGGACGGGGGCGGGAGAAGGAAACCGGGCUCCCCUGCCCAUCCCCCGCCAGGGGCUCCCCCCGAGAGCCUAGGGGGCCGCCGCGCCGUGUCCCGCGCCCGGCCUGCCGGGGCUGCUGGACUAGAGGGAUUGAUUAUUGAUUGGUGAUCGGGGUCGCUGAGGCUCCGGGCCGGCCCGGCCGACUGGCCGCGGCAAGAAGGAGCUGGCUGGGCGGCGUGGGCGGCGGGGCGACGCGGGCUCACUUACGGGCGGCGGUGAGGGCGCGGGUGGGCCGGAGCUCAUGCGGGCGACCCCCGGGCGGCGGCGGCUGAGCGGGAGCCGGAGCCCGAGCGGCGCGGGCGGCGGCGCAUCGAUGCGCUGCGGGCUCGAUUGCGUCUCCCUGGGCCAGCUCUCAGGCCGGGAAUGGGGCGGCCGCGCCGGGGCCGGCUCCGGGCGCUGCCGGGCGGCGGCUGCUGGAGCGCGGGGGCGGCCUCCGGGCCCACUAUCCCCGAGGCGGCCCUGCGCCCGGGCGCGCCGGCUGGGGCUCUGGCGCUCUCGCAGGCCCCGAGGCCGACAGUCCCGGCGAGGGCGGGCGCCCCGCGCUCCAGCACCGGCUGCCUGAGCGCUCCUGGAGCAGCAAACCCCAGACUUCUUCCUCCUUCUCUCCUUCCUUCCUUCCCCCUCCCCUUAUCUUUUUCUUUUUUUAGUCUCUUUCUCCCUCUUUUUCUGCCCUGUGUCCUUUUUAUUUUUUCUCUACGACUGUUUUUGCAAGUUUGUUUCAAAAGUUCACAGCAUGCUUUCUUUUCUUUUAGACCGGGAGACAGUGAUCUCACCCACACGGUAAGAUCAAAAGUCUCCGCUCGCCCAGCCUGCGGGCUUGGGCUGGGUCCAGACGUCUCCCAGGAUGCAGAUGCGCCGCCGCUGGCCUCCCCGGCUAUAAAGCCGCCUCCAGCGCCUUUCCGCGCGCAGGAGCGCUCGGAGUUGUGGGGUACGGACCCCAGGCGGGGCAGGGAGUCCGAGGCGGGCUGCGGCGGGGCUCUCGGGCUGGCGGACUCGGGGGCUGAGGCGCCGUGCGCGUUGGGUGCCCGCGGCCGCAGAGGCCAGAACCGCUACUCCUCCAGGCCGGGGAGACGCGGCCGUGGAGCGUGAAACGCUUCUUGCAAGCGAGGAAACGGUGAGUUGGCCGACACCGCCGGCGGCCUCACCAUUCUGGUGGCCGCGCUGAGCUCCUGUCGCCUGGAGGCGGGUUGCGCCGCACGGGGUCAGCUCCCGCCGGCUCCCAGCUCACCUUCGAAGCUCCCACUUAGGCGCGCCCGGUGCGGCGUGUGCACAGCGCGGGGCGCCGCACACGGAAGCGUGUAGUUCUCCCUGGUCGCGCUUUUCUCCUCCUUUCCAUCCCCUCGCUGUUCUUGCAAACCUCUGUUCCUUCGGCCCCCUCCCACUGCGGGCCGCGGCCUGAACUCGGGUCUCCGCGUAGCCGGCCGCCGCCGCUGGGUCGCUGCCUGGCCCUCCCCCGCUCAGGCGCCGAGCGCUGUGCGAUCCGCCCUAACAUCUGUCCGUCCAACCAUUGGCGCAUCCAUCAGUGUCAAUGGGCUGCACAUUGCAGCGACAGCCCGCCACGCACAACACGGGCUAUGCGGAGUGCACGCAGCAACCAUACUGCCAUGUCGGGACACGCAAAAAGGCCCCCGGCCUGGCUUGGCACAGCCUGAAGGCCUAAUCUGUGUUCUUUCAGCCACAUGUACCCACCCCCACUUAAUAUCUGGACCCCCAAACAUGAAUAGUUUUGCAGACCAUUGUAGGGAUGGAAUUGAAGGAAGAGGGGCAGUGUCGCCCGAGUCAUUAUUUUCCACCAGGUUUUCUCUGCCCUUGUGUGGGCUGGGUGUGGCUAGGAGAGAAGGAAGGGAGACUUCCCAAAUCCGCACCAAGCACACUGCAGAACCGGAAGCUACCUGGAUGCAAGGGCUUAAACCCCCUUCACCUGGGCCUAGGAUGUGUUGUCGAGGUCGCUGGCCAGGUUUUAGCCAGGAGGUCUCGCGCUAAAACUUUUUGGCCCCGCCUGGCUGCUGUGUGUGACAUGGCCUGAUGGAGAGGAGCUGGAGAGCGGAGGAAAACGUGGAUCCCAGUGAGAACUAAGGGCCAGAUUUAGGGAGAAAUAGUGUCUGGAUGGCAGUAAGUCUGUAAUUCACAUUUUGUUUACAAAGGGAGAAAGGGCAGGGCUGUAGGUUUGAGAAGCCAGAGGUUUGCGCGGAGUUCCGUGUGCCCAUUCCCCGAGAGUGCCGCUCUUGGCUGUAGUUGUUUGUUCUACCUGAUUUUGCCUCUUGCCUUCAACUCCCCCAUAACCCCUCCCCAAAUGUCCAGAGGGCAAACAUAUGCGCAUACCUCCCUGAUCAAUCCAGCCAGACCAAAGGGCCUUCCCUGUCCUCCCCCUAAGAACUUAAUGGGAAGAGUGUACGGGGGACCUACUCUUGGGACAUCUGCAGGGCGGCUGUACCAGGCGUUUUACCUGACUUUAUUCUUACCGCAAAGAUUUCCGUCUCGGUACCUGGUGCCCCCUCAGAGUCCACUACACAAACGGGUAAAAUCCCGCGCGGCUAUUCAUUUCGCCAUUCGCGAGUAAGAAGGGGAAAAGGAGCCGCUUCUAGGAGAGCACUGAGGUAUGCUCGGUUCGGUUCCCGAGGAGGCCAGAAGCGGCCGCGGCGGCGCGGGCUGGAGCUCCCUCCUGCAGGGAGACACCGCGCUCUAGGGUGCGGGCUUCGCCGCCCACAUCCAGUGGUCGAACUGUUUUCACGCUAGACUAGAGGGCGGAAAAGUCUGCGCCCGCGGAGAAACUAGAAUUCUGUAGAAUGUACACUGUGUAGAAAUCUUUUCACCCCACUCUUCAGAGUUGCAGAUUAUCUUUGAAAAACAACAGGCUCUGGCCCUGCCAGCCCUAGUAACUUCUACCCGCCUGAGUCACUCUGAAAAGUAAGCCCCUAGGCCAGUGAGAUGUCCCCACCUUUGGGAGGUGCCGCCUUUCCGGGAACAUUAAAAAAAAAACCCUAAAAAUAGAAGGAGGAAAAAUGAGCAAAGGCGGUGGGACGACUCACCGAAACACCGAGGUGCAAAUGUCCAUUGGAGAAACUGGCAGUCGCAUGGCAGCCAGCUGGCUCACCCAAUAGCUGGGUGGUAACCUUGUGAUCCCCAAACAUCCCCCAGGGCCAUGAAGGCAGUGCUGACCCCCACGAUUGCACCUCAGGCCCGGUGGAAUCCCGCUCCUCCUCCAUAGUGGUGCUAUGUAAUCAGUAGAAAAUCAGUAGAAAAGCUCCCAAAUGAAGCUGCUUCAGGUCAGGGGUUAGAAAUCUGCCUCAGACUUUUUGAACUCAAGGAAAUCGGGACAUCUGUCCCCAGAGCUACCUGUGCCCCACCCCAGGAUCAUUCAUGACCUUAGCUACCGGGAGCUCUGCCCGGAUAAGUUUUUAAAAGAGAGAGAGAAAGAAAAAAGUCACAUGCAGGCAAGGCUAGGAACAGGUGUGUGCUGUGGGGACGGGCACUUGGCUCGCAACACACCACACAAAGUCACGAAGUCUGUGCCAGAAAGGAGUAGCCAAACCACCGCCGGGAGGCAGCCGAGGUUGUGUUUAAGGUGGCGAUUGAGGGCAGUAGGUGACAACUCGACCCAAAGAAGGCCAAGUCUUGUCCUUAUCUGGGGUGGCCACUGAGGGAAAAGACUUAAGGGAAAGAAGUUGUCUUCAAAGCUACCAUUACAAGAUGAGGAGCUAGAGUGGGCUCAGGUCCCAGGCACCCAGGGCUUAAGCCUUGAUGUUGGAGAGGUUCUCGGAGGGAGGCUUGGGCCACCUGGAGGGACUGGGCACUCUGAGUAGUACCCUCUGGGAGGCUGUACCCCCUUUCAAAGUGUGAGGGCAUUUGCCCAAGGUGUAGGCUUUUAGGGAGCCCAGGGCUGGGCAGCACCAGGGGAGAGAGGCACCAGGUGGGUGCCCUCCUGCCUGCACUCACCUGGAAUGCUGGCAUAUGGGUUUUUCGCCUUCCUCACGCCUCCCCACACCACAUUCUGGGCUAGGCAGUGUCGAGGAGGUGCCUUGGGUUCAGGGAAGCUUGCCACCUGCACACCUGAACCAGGAAUUGGGCCCCGGAAUCUCAGCCCCUGCCCAAGCAGGAAGGAUAGGGACCCUGGCCCUCGCCAGGUGGUAAAUUGUUUGCUAAAAGUGCAUUUACACGGCGGCGAAGUUUGUUUCUCUUUUACCGGUAGCUUUGUUUUAACGAACCAGAUGUUUUGUCUGUAAAUUCUCCCAAGAACUUUUCCAGUUUUGACGUGAAAUAAACCUUCGAAAAUCAGAAGAGUAUAUUAAUACCACUUCUGUGGGGCCUCAGGAGAGCUGAGUCAGGUGUGCCUGGAUGGGAGCUGGGGGUGGGAGUACAAUCUUUGGAGAGAAGUAGGGGGCUUCUCUUGGCCCAAGGUCAAGAAUUGGUUUGGGGGAGGUGAAGUGCCUCCCCGACUCCCAAAACAGGCGCACACACACGCAUUGUCACACCAGAGUACGCACUCCCAGCCCUCCUCCAACCAGGCAUAGCUUGCUACUUCGUAAAUUUCUUGUGGCUUGGGGCACAGAGAUGUAGCUCAACUUUGCAGACUGUGUCCACUGCAUGCCGCUGCCGUUUUCCACGAGGACCGCCUGACUGAAAGGCAAAGGGGCCUUCGAUCUUCUUCCCGGGGCAGCUUUGAUGCCUGAGUGUGCGGGGCCGGGGCCGGGGCCAGGGCAGAGCAGGGUGGAAGCUGGUGCCCCUGUCUGGCCCACCCUUAACUCCUGGGCACCACUCGAUUCGGGAGAACUUGGGGUGGAAGCCGACCUGGUCUAGGAAGCCACAGCCUGCAGGUCCCCCUCUCCAAUGCCUCAUUUUUUCCGAUUUAGGAUUUCCAGGCAGUUAUAAACACCUUAAAAAAAAAGACCCACUUAACAAUACACCUAAAAGAGGGAGGGAAGGAAGGAAGGAGUACGGUUAUCACAGGCGUGUGGGGAGAGGGAAACCAGGUCUGCCUAGAAACCCACCUUCUGGUCCUGUGAGUCAUAGCGGCCACUUUCUCGGGUUUCCCAAGACAGGAGAUGGCGAUUUUCUGCUCCCUCCCCUCUCCCCAAGCUUUCCAGUGCUCUGAGUCUCACAUCUUCAGAUACCUCUUUCUUCCUUCAUUCUCUUUCGUUCAAUCAUCUACGGAACUUUCAAAAACUUUUUUUUUAGGAGAGCGAAGAUUAAAUAAAGAAAAUAAAACGUCUUUGUAUUUCAGUCUAAGGAGGACAGAUGCACAUUAAACUCAGUUUGGAGCGCUUAACUCCAGGCGAAAUGCCCUUUUAUCAAAUCCCACGCGUCGACUUGGGUUGCGCUGGGAAUUUCACGAAUUCCUCGCUGCAGCGUGGCGUGGUUUACCCCCACCCCCACCGCCACCCCACUUUGGGUGAAAUGGAUUUUUGGAAACCAUUUAAGCAGAGCUAAAAAUAAGGGUGGGGGGAUCCCUACACUAGAGAUAGCUGCAGCCACCUAGGGGCUCACCCCUGGUCGGGAGCGAGCAGCUAUUUGCUAGUUGUAGCUCAGGGGUGCCCAACUCUUCCCGUGUGGUUGCGCCAGCUGCCCCGCACUGCAGGUAUCUGAAUCAUUACGUGGGCAACCUGAUGCGGCUCUGAACCCCAGCUCUUUGAAUGCUGGAAUCCUGAAGGAGGAGGAUUCCACCAGGUCUUAGCCGACCAGAUAGCCCAGCUUUCUGAGGCUGGUGACCUCAUUAACUGGCCAGGGAAUUUGCAAGACCAGGAAUAAUCACGUUUCCCAGUUCUUCUUUCCUACAUUGCUUUUCUCCUCUGUCUUCAACGUUAGGGUUUUGUGUUUGUCCCUAAAUUUACAAUUUACAAACGGGGAAGACGGAGCCUAAGUUUCUGCAGGGCAGGUACAAAAGAGAGGGACAACACUCUGGGGGCCUCAUUCUUUCACGUUUUUGUUUCUUGAAAUUUGAUGGAUAUCACCUUAGUUCGGCAAUAGGAGGGCCAGGGUGACUGGGGACAUGGUGGCCCGAAGGGUUAGAUAAUAUAGCAUGCAGGUAGUCUCUGAUCUCCAGGGCUUUGAUAACACCAAGAUUUUCCUCCUUUGCAGAGCAGUCCUAAAUUCUGCCUUCUCCCUUUUCUGCCGCCUCUUCUCUUUUCCCCAUUUCUUUCUUCGUUUCUUUUUCUGUUUUCUUUUUGUGUGCCUCUCUUCCAACAGUCCCUCCUCCACCUUUAUAAGACUUCUCAAAGGUUAUUUAUUUAAGGUCUACCAAGUGCUAGCCCCAAACAGGUCCAGUCCUUCUACCUGUGGCAAGACGGAGGCUGUUACCGCGUGCAAAUAGUGAGGGAACAAAGUAGUUUGGAGUUUUUUGCAGCUUUUUUAGGUGAGGGGAAGGGAGGGAGGUCAGAAAUAGGUUGACACUUGGUUUGAAAUAAAAGAGCAUGUUAAGAAGUUUCGAAGCUGCCAAUAAAACCCUUUAAGUGGCUUGUGAUUCAGUGCCUGGAGUUGCGGGGAUGGCAUUGGUAAAUGACUCUAAUGCCCAAAGAAAAAUAUUACAAAUGCCGCUGUCUCGGCCACCAAUCGGGCGCCGCUUUCCUGCGCGGGCGAUGGCUCCUCUCUGGCGCGGAGGGCACCCACAUUUGCAUGAUAAAUUGACCAGACUGGCGGCAGCCAAUGAAAUAUUCAAAUUAGGCUGGGUGGCGGUAGUAGGGGUGGAGUCCCUGGGGCUGCCCCUUGGCGCGGCGGCGGGAGCGGGCGCUACCACCUCUCCGUCAGCGCCCUCUGGAGGCGGGACAGCGCGGGCGGCCGCUCUGGCCCAAAAGACGAGAUGGGGGGUUGGGGGUUUGGGAUGCAAGGGGGUUUGGGAGGGGUGAUGGUGGGGUCUGGGUGGUGCUUCGCGGCCCCAGGAGGCUUUCCGGCUGGCCUCGUUGACUAGGCGUACAGCAGCGUCUCCGCAUGCCUCUUGCCCUUAAAAGUGUUGAUGGAUUGCAGAAGUGGAUGGUGACCCCAAGGAGGGGUUUCAGAAAGGCUCCAGCCUCCUUCGCCCAACCACCUUCUCUAGGUUCCCCUAACAAACCCAUCACUUAAGUUAAAAACGUGUAUUUGCUCUUGUUGACUUAGCUUUAAGACAAGAUUCUUGCCCACCGCAGACCACAUGGCCAGCUUUCCCAAAGGCCCUCUGAUAAUGAAAUGGUGGAGCAGAUAUAUCAAACUUUCCAUCUUGCCCUGAGCCAACGACCCUGCACCCUCACAGGCCAGGGCACUCUGGAGGGCACCCUGCCUGGAGCCCCAAACCUUGGGUAAGCUGUGGGAGCCUAGGCAGGGGCAGGCAGUGCCUGGAGGCUGGCUUCAGACGGCAGAACUUCUCACCUGGGAAAAUGCUUUCUGGAAGAAGCACCCAGGCCUCAAGGCAGCUCCAGUGAGGGGGCAAAAAGGGAUAUACAUAAGGCAUAAGGCGCUGGCCAUGGUUAGGUAGGUGCUCAGCCAGGAAGAUAGGGCAGAUUCACAUGGGGGAGAUUGGCUCGGUGAUGAGACCACUUCUGACUCCACCAGAACCAGGCCCAGCUCUUCCUGGAGGUCCUGACUCAACGGGGACUUUUGCAUGGGAGCCAAAGAACAGUGGAUGUCUCUUGUCCGCUGAUCAUCUCUUCCCUUCCCCCACCCCAUAUUCCAUCCCAUGCCAGAUCCCUAGGCUGUGCCUGUUAGAGCUACUGUAGCACCACAUGGACUUGCCUUUAAAGCAGAAUUUUUAGAAGUGCAGUUGCUUUUCUUUACUCUGCUGUGGGAUGCUGAACACCUUGUUCUUUCUCCAGCUCAGCAGGGCUUGGAGUUGGUUCCUAGCUAUCUCUGGGAAUGCUCGAUCCCCAUCUCUGUUACCAGCCAAAAGGGUCUGCGGGAGGUGGUCGGCACUCCAGUCAGCAGCCCUCUCAGUACCUCUUCCCCAGACAUAGUCAAAGCAAGUCAUUCAUCUGCAGCCAGUCUCCCCUGCCCAUUCACCAAGGAGAACCUGGGGAUAGGACCACUCAGAGCCUGGCCCAGGCUGGCUCACUAACUGUGUGUAAAUACACACAGCGGAAAGAGUAGGUGCUGAACACACAUGUGUGAGAGAGUGAAUUUUUACUCUCAAUCACCUUAUAUAUAUUAUCAAUAGUUUCAAAGUAUGUUGCCCAAAGGAUGUUAAUUCCUAAGAAGGCUUUUAUAUCGUUUGGAGUUUUGAGGAGUGUGUUGGCUGAAGAGAAGAGGGUCUGGCCCCAGUCUUGAUGGGAAUGCAUGGGGUAAACAGCUGGUGGCAGAGGUACAAAAGGGGCCUCUCUACUUUCUAAGAGAAUCUUCCAUCCUGGCUGAUUUUAGGACCUGGGGUGGGGUUCCCAUCAGGAGGAGGCCUAAGGAAGGAGUAGGACCCUUCCUAGAUGGCUGAGUCAACUUAUACGACAGGGCAGGGAAACCUAUCUUGGAAACCCGGGAGCCCUCCUUCCUCCUCCCCAUCCUCAGGCCUCACCUGAGACUUGAAAAUGGACCAGAGUCUUCCUCCAACAGUGAAAUUCGUUAAAGAGUCACUCCUGUCUAGAAUGUGCAGAAAUGCAAGCCUCUCUCUUUCUCUCUCUCUCUCUUUCUCCACCUUGAGGAUGCUGUAUCUAGAGCCCAUAUAGGGACAAGAAGGUAAGCAGUGAAAGCAGGAAAGAAGUAGAAGGCUGGCUGUCAUCCAGCUGUGCAUACAGUCCUAUCUCAGCUGAACUGUGCACGGUGAAUGAGGAAGUAAAUGACAGGUGAAGGACCAAGAGAGUGAAGCUAGUCAGUUUAUCUGAGGAGAUAGGUAUCAGUGAGUAACUGUAAGGAUCACACCCACAGUGGGUGUGCCCCGCAGAUGGAUAUAUGUGCAGCAAGCGGUACCUUGCGGGGGAAUGCAAGCUCCAACUGUGGUGCUGAGCCUCUGGCCCAUAAGUAACCCAGUGAGCCUGAGCAGGUCACUCCCUCUCUUUGAACCUUGUCUCCAUCUCUAAAACAGGACAGCUUUCUCCAUCUUAAACACCAAGUAGGAAUUCAUUGUGGAAACCUUCCAUCAAAAUUGGAGAUGCCUUGGAUGGACCCUGUGGUGGCUCAUGCCUGUAAUCCCAGCACUUUGGGAGGCUGCGGCAGGCAGAUCACUUGAGUCCAGGAGUUUGAGACCAGCCUGGGUGACAUGACAAAACCCUCUCUCCACAAAAAAUACAAAAAUUAGCUGGGCAUGGUGGCAUGCACCUGUAAUCUCAGCUACUUGGGAGGCUGAGGCAGGAGGAUCGCUUGAGCCUGGGAGGUUGAGGCUGUAGUGAGCCGAGAUAGUGCCACUGCACUCCAGUCUGGGCAACAGAGUGAGACCCUGUCUCAAAAAAACAAAAAAUAGAGAAAUAGAGAUGCCCCUUGAACCCAUGGGUUUUUGGGACUACAUUCUGGAAGCUUUCAGAGUCAGACCAGAGUUUGAAAGAGGCAUUGUGUCACUAGCCGUGUGCCCGUGGGCAAGUCACAGUAGAGUCUACUUCCCACGGCACUUGUGAGACUCAUCUGGGAUUAUGUGUGUCCAUGCCUUGGCAGAGAGCUUGGUGAAGAAUGUUAGUUGUCCAAUAAAUGGUACCCCAUUAAGUUGGUGUGCAGGGUGGCCACAGGGCCAGACCACCCUGAAAAUAAAGGCUUAUAUUUGGGCUGAGCCUGGAUGCACCUGAGAUUACAAGCAGGUGCUUAGAAUGUGGUGAAAAAGAAAGACAGGAGAGAAUGGCUGAAGGCAGCAUGCAGUCCACCUGACUUUCUGGGAAGAUUGGGCAUUUGCAGGGCUGAUAAGUCAGGUUCUUCCGGGCCUUUCUGUGAGCUCAUUAGAGGAAGGGGUCUGGUGACUGAUAUUUCUAUUUUCCCUGUUAGUAGCGACUGGAAUUUGCACCAUCCAGGUCAGAUGGAAAAUAGAAGGCGGGAAAAUCUGACAGUCUCAUUGAUUUGCUCUCUUUGCCAUCACCACUCUUGAGAGGAAGAAAUGUGACUUCAAACUUGCAAUUAGGAACCAGCCUGCUAAGGAGUCCUCUCGUGAGCUCCUGUGCUAUGCGGAGCACAGGCCCAUCUCAUCUCAUUUCCUAAGGAGGUAGGUUCAUUCAUGGUUUCAGCAGGAGCAGGCAGUGCAAACGUGUGACACCCGCCCGCAAAUAACUGCCAGAAAGGCCGUCCAAUGCUUCCUUCACAUUUUUGGUCAGAUCUCUGAAAAGAUGGCCAUUCUCCCAAUGUUUUAAAAGUAUUAACUUCCUUUCAAACAUCCUUUAACCUUUAAUGUUUUGUAACUUGAUGAAAAGGUCAUUUUGUGCUGAGGAUGCAGUUGUUCCGGAAUUGUUCAGCUAACGGGGUGAAUUCCAACCAAAUCCAGAAUUAUUUAAUGGGAUCCAACGCCCCGGCCACACGCACAAUAAGUGAAUAUUUUCCCAUAUAUGUCUGUGUACAGGUACAUGUACUUGUGCAUAUGUAUUUACAUAUUUGUAUCUAUGCAUGCACAUAUACUCAUUGGGACUUGGAUUCAAUGGACAUUUUUAGCCUUCUCACAAAAUGACUUAUCCUUUGCAGGAAAAUAGAUAUUAAACUUACUCUUUUGAACACAUUUUGCUAAAUAUUUGAUGGCAAUUAUUUAUGGUGCACUGUACUUAUUCCUGAUUUCUUACAGAAGGGGUUGGGUCAAUUUCUAAUUCAACAUUUCAUUGCUGUCUCUACAAUAAAUGCCUCCAGAAGCUUAGGAGAAUUGAGAGGUUUUUUUCCUCUCUCUUCUUUCACAGUGUGAGCUUUUUAACUGUCACUGGCUAGAGCAGUCCUUCUUCACUUUUACCUUCCUUAGCUGAUGUAUUCUUGGAAACAGAUGGCUGAGCAUGUUAGAUUUAUAUUUAAAAUAAGAGUAGAGUUAAUAGGCUCAAAUAAGAGCAGGAAGGUAUUUUCUACAAGGAAACUGCAUGAAGUUUAUGCCUGGACUCUGGAAGAUGUGUUAAUACUUUUACUUAUUCAAGAGGCAUUGGGUUGUGGUCUGCUAUGUUUCUUGCUCUGAUGACUGAGUUUUUAAGAUAAAGGCUCUCCGGGCAAAUAAGGAACAGUUGGAUAGAGUAGCUCACCUUAAGUCUCUAUAGACUCAUGUAGAGAACAAAUCUGAUCUAAACUGUGUAAAAAAAUGAGUAAGAGAACUCUAUAAGAUUAACACUCUUAUUAAACUUAAAAGAGAAAAUUGGUACUUUUUUUUUUUUUCUUAGACAGAGACUUGCUCUGCUGCUCAGGGUGAAGCACAGUGGCACAAUGUCGGCUCACUGCACUCACCUCUGCCUCCUGGGUUCAAGCGUUUCUUCUGCCUCAGCUUCCCGAAUAGCUGGGAUUGCAGGCAUGCACCACCACACCCAGCUAAUUUUUGUACUUUUAGUACAGACAGGGUUUCAACAGGUUGGCCAGGAUGGUCUCGAACUCCUAACUUCAAGUGAUCCACCUGCCUCAGCUUCCCAAAGUUCUGGGAUUACAGGGCACCAAAAAUUGGCACUUUUAAAAGGAGACAAGUUUUACUUAAAAGCAAAAGCCUUUAACAGGCCUUUGGCUGGAUUAAAUGAUAAUGAAGCGAAGCAAAGCUUGUGACCACUCUGUAGAGCCAUCCAGAUAGUCUCUCUUUGGGGCCAGAUCCUCUAGAAUGCAUGAUUUAGGGUCAUUCAUUGCACAUUCCUGGCUUCAGACUGGUUUUCUGAAUUUCCCUGCAAUCUGAUUUUUGUCUUCCUACAUUUCUGUGUGUGAGAUACAUCAAAAGGUAAAAGAAUGUGUGAAUCAUAUAGGUACGGUUUAAAUAAUACCUGCAUACACAACACUCAGUCACCUGAAACCCCCCGACACCUCCCAAUUCCAGUCCCCUCUCCUGGAGGCCACCUCUAUUUUUAAUUUUUGUAAUGAUCACUUCCUUGCCUUACUUUGUAGUUUUAAUAUUUAGAUGUGUAUACCUGGUCAUGUUCAUAAAUGAAAUCAUGUUGUAUGAAUUAUUUUGUGUCUUGUUUCUCUUACUCAGCAUUGUUUUUCGGACUUAACCAUGUGGAUUUGUGUUGCUGGUUCAUGGUCAAGGUUCUAGACUAUGAAAACAUUAGUUUCAUGAAAACAUUAGGAUUUUUUCCCCCCAAUUGUUUGGAUAUCAUGAAGAAUGCCGCUGCGAACAUGUUUGUUCCUAUGCCAUAACUCACAUGGGGAAUAUCUCCUAUUUAUAUAUAGUUAGGGGUGGGAUUGCUUGGUCAGAGUUUGCAUAUCUGCAGCUCUAACUGUUUUCCAAGAUGAUUGUGUCAAUUUUCACUCCCACAAGCAGUUUUUAAAGUUCCCAUUGUUCUACAUCCUUGCCAGCCUAUGAUAUUGUUAGCAAUGUUUCUUCGUAUUUGUAAUGUUUCCUAAUCUAGCGGCUGUGGUUGCUGUCUCACUGUGUUUAAUUUGCAUUUCCAUGAUUACUAAUGAGUUUGAGCACCUUUUUUAUAUCUGCGUGGUGAUCGGGAAUGCCUUAUUUGUGAGAUGCCUGUUCAAGUCCUGCCAUUAUCCGUUGCAUAUAUGUUUCACAUUAUUUCACCCAAGUUCUCUGUUGCCCAGGUUUGUUUCAGAUUGGUUUGGGACAGUGGAUCAGAUCAGAAAUGUUUCAGUGACAUCUCUCACUAUAUUUCCUAGGAUGCUUUUAUCUGUGAGAAAUACGACCCCCUGCUCACACUGGCUUAAGGAAAUUGGCAAGAGGUAGAUUAUGGCUCCAUUAUAUUAACAGGAAGCCAGUUUGCUCUGCCUUCUUACUCUUCGCUUCGUUUUCGGCAUAAUCUCAUCCUCAAGGUGUUUUAUCUUAUGAUUUCAAGAGGACCACAAAUGGCGAGUGGAACUAAUUGCUUCUUUGUCCACAUUCCACAAGGAAGAGAAUAAUAGAAAACUUUUCAUUGACCCAUGUAAUCUAAGUCAUACCCUUCAGUUUCCAGGGGCCACGUCCAUGAAGCAGGAGGCAUCUGCAGUGAAUGCCAUGCCCUGACGCCUUACUGAGCACUCCUAGUAGGACAAAAUGAGUACUGUAUGGGGAGGAGGCAACCUCAAACAACCACCAUGCUUACUGCCAAGCCUAUAGGAUAUUUUUAAAUUCAUUUUUUAAUUUGCAUAUAAUAAAAUGCAUUUUUUUGGGAUGCAGUUUUCUGAGUUUUGCCAAAUGCACAAAAUCACAUAACUACCACUGCCAUCAAGAUUUGGAACAGUGGCUAGGUGUGGUGGUGGCUUACACCUGUAAUCCCAGCACAUUGGGAGGCUGAGGCAGGAGCAUCGCUUGAGCCCAGGACUUCAAGAUCAGCUUGAGCAACAUAGUGAGACCCCAUCUUUACAAAAAACUUUUUAAAAAUUAGCUGGGCAUGGUGGCAUGUGCCUGUAGCCCCAGCUACUUGGAAGGCUAAGGCAGGAGGAUCACUUGAACCUGGGAGGUUGAGGCUGCAGUGUGCUGUGAUUGCACCGCUGUACUCCAGCCUGGGUGACAGAGGAAAACCCCAUCUCAAAAAUUUUUUUUAAAAGAUUUAGAGUCGUUUUCUUUUUUUUCUUUUUUUUUUUUGGACAGAGUUUGGCUCUUGUCGCCGGGGCUGGAAUGCAAUAGUACAAUCUUGGCUCACUGCAACCUCCACCUCCCAGGUUCAAGUGAUUCUUCUGCCUCAGCCUCCCGAGUGGCUGGGACUACAGGUGCCCAGCACCACACCUGGCUUUUUUUUUUUUUUUUUUUUUUUUUUUUUUUUUUUUUUUUAGUAGAGGCAGGGUUUCACCAUGUUGACAGGCUGGUCUCGAACUCCUAACCUCAGGUGAUCCACCCUUUUUGACCUCCCAAAGUGCUGUGAUUAUAGGCAUGAGCCACCGUGCCUGGCCUAGAAUAGUUUUCUUACUCCCCCAAAACUGCUUUAUGCUGCCUUUUUGUAGUCAAACUAUCUGCCUGCCCUUAACCCCAGCUCCCCCGCAUUAGAAACCACUGAACCUCUGAUCUGUUCUUCACCUUAAAGCUUUCCCUUUUCCAGGGUGUAGCGUAUGUGGAAUUAUAGAGUAUGUCACCUUUCAAGUCUGGCUUCUUUCAUCUAGUGUAAUGCAUUUGAGAUUUAUCUAUGUUGUCGGAUGUAUCAGUAAGUUUGUGUCUUAGCAGUGCUGAGAAGUAUUCCUUUGCAUGGAUGUACCCAGAUCUGUUUAUCCAUUCAUCAGUUAGAGGACAACUGGGUUGUUUCCAGUUUGGGGUGAUUACAAAUAAAGCCACGAUGUACAAGCACCUCUAGGUUUUGGGUGAACAUAAGUUUUCAUUUCUCUUAAGUUUCAAUACCUAGGAGAAUGAUUGCUAGGUCAAUGGUAAGAGCGUGUAUAAUGCUACAAGAAAGUGCUAAACUGUUUUCCAAAGUGAGUGUAGCAUUUUGUAUCCCCGCUAGCAAUGAAAUGAGAGCUCCGCUUGCUCUGUAAGAGGCAUUAGUGAAUAUGAAAGUGCUUUGUAAAGACUAAGGGUGUCUCACAGUGUGCCCAGGCGGGAGGAUUCAGAGGGGGCAUUUCUAAACUCUAAACUCCUGUGGGCUCCUAGCCCAUCCUUCUGAAUGGGGACAGAAUACUUCCAUUUCCAGGUUACUUGCUUCUCCAAAAGGGAGACAGGGAAGUAUCCUUCUCUUUUUGCAAAUGAGGGCACAGCACUGCCUCUCGUGGUUGAGCCAGUCAUUAUUCAGUAGGAACAGCAGUGAGAUUCUCCAGCCUUCUAUUUUAUUCCUGGGGUCACAGAGUAAAAUGCAGCGUGAUCAUUUGGAGCAUUCUUAUGCUUUGUGACAAGAACAAAGCCAGUGGAAACAGCCAUGUGUCCAAUCAGAAUGUCAGAGCUGGCAGGGACCUUAGCAAUUGUCACUUUACAGAUGAUAACCUAUUACAUCCCCAGGUCCCCAGAAUCCCAGCCCAGGACUCACUCCCUCAGCCUUCCUGGAUUGUCCUGGGUGGAACAAGAUCAGCUCAUUUAGCACAUAGUCUUCCAGAACACAAGGCAGUGUCCCACCAAGGUUGGAUGGGACCAGCUUCUCUAUCCACAGUAGCUGUGCACACAGAGACAGAAAUGAAGCCGUACUGCCGGGUGCACCGUGGCCAGAGAUCCUCCUUCCUGGUAUAUACUCCCGGAGCCAUUGCUUCUUUCAUUUCAGUGCCCAUUUCUGAGGCACCUUCACAUUUCAAACGUCCUGAGAAUAUGUUUAAUUAGAACUUGGCCAUACAGCCUUUUAAAACAAAACAGAAGGGACCAGCUAAUUAUAUCACUCAGCAUUCUGUGGCAAACAUAUAUUUUUUAAUAAAACACUUUCCUAACCAGAGUAAUCCCUGGAGAUGCAAAUCCUCAUUUAUAAGAAGUUUCCCAAAGGGAGUUAAAGAGAAGAUGCCUUAUAAAGAAAAGAGACAAAGAGAGUGGGGAAGUGUUUUCAAAGAGCUUUUAAAAGAUACACUCAUUCUGAGGUUGAAUUACAGAUAUUUUAAGGGUACCAAAUUUUAUUUCAGAUGUAAUCCUUUCCUGUGUUUUUGAUCAUGUAUUUCCGUUUUUUCCCUUUUUGAUCAUUGCCACAAAUGCCCAUAUUUCUCUUUCUGGUGUCUUUCAUAAGUGCAAUAUUUAAAUAAACAAGGGAUUUUCCCAAAAUGCACCUCAUCUCCUACUCUUUGUCAUUUCCUUGUCUUGCUCUGUAAAUAACCGUGUGUCUCACAGCAGAGCUUACACAGAAUGGAUGUGGGGCAGUCUGUGGUCCUGGGGAGGGCCUUCCCUGUAAUCUCUGCAGCCCAGGACAGGGAGAGGGAAGAUUUAGAUCCUGCUGCGGCAUGUCUUCAGGAGUGGAGGUCAGCUUGGGACAUUUACGUUCAUGAGGCAGCCGCAGAGGGUCAGAGCAAUAAUUGUGCCAGCUGAUGUUUGCUGCGGGGUUUACUCCAAGCCAGGCCACACGCUAAGAAAUUAGGUAUCGUACCUCAUUUAAUCCUCACAAUCCUCACAAAAUGUAGUUGUUUUGCUCCAUUUUGCAGAUGAAGAAGACGAGGCUUGAGAGACGAAGGAAUGAAUGAAGGGUCUCACAGCUGUUAGAAGGGUUAGAUCUUGUAUUUGGACUCAGGUCUGCCUGCCCUGGAACUUGACUCUCCCACACCUGGUGCUGGGCACACUAGGAGACGUCACAAGGCUCAGAGAUGCCACCCUUCCUAGAACGGGCGCCGUGCCUCUCUUCUCCACACACUGCAGGGGAGACAGGCACUGUGUUUUCAGAUAAGUUCCAUGUGCAUCAGGGGCUCGGUGGGAAAGGGAGGACACACUCAGAUUAGGAUUAUUCAUGGAGGAUUCUCCAAAGAGGCUAUUUGGAAAGACGGAGGGAAUGGUGAAGGAAAGCACAAGAGAAAAUGGACAGAACCGUUACUUCCUCACGCCUGAAGGGGAUGGGUUACUGGAAGCCAGGAGGAGAGUGUGAUAAGAGCCACUUUUAGAGGAGCUUUCACCUUCAGGAGAAAGUCAGGGCCCAAGAAGACCCACAGGGAGGUGACCAGGGAAUGGCAUACUUGGACUACCCUCUCUUCUGUUCCUCCACUCUCCUGCCAGGGCUCCACAUUGGAUAAACCCCUGCAGGGGCGAGUGAAACUGCCACCCAGGUUUGCCUCCCAGGGCACAGCCCAUGGAGAGCUCUAAGGCAAGUGGCAGAAAACUAGCACAGGUGCAGUGCGUCUUGCAAAGCACCCAGCCUAUGCCGGCCCUGGGCUAGAAAUGGGAAGAGAGGAGACCAUGGCACUGCCCUCAAAGAUCUUAGAGUCUGUGGAGGAGUCAGGCAGAGAGAGGGGGUGUUCCCUUGGCAAAGGACUCCAUGAGCAGAUGCAGGCCAUGGGCGACGCUCCUGCAGAAGCUUUGGGGUUUGCCGCAUGUGCCUGGAAGGAGCGCGCCCACCUUGACAUGCCUCGCCUCCUGUUGCCAUUGACAACGUGAAGGCAAACUCCUGGGGCUGGGCCUUUUUCCUUGAGAUAAAAUAUGUAUAAUUCUCUGUUAUCAAAUGAUUAUUAAACAAAAUCUAAUUGAAAAAAUAGAAAGAAGAAAAGAUAAGUCAUUUAUCAUCCUGUUCUCCAAAGACAACUGUGAACAGCUUGGUGGAACUCCUUCCAGUGGCUUUCCUUGGAGCUUUGCCUCUGUGGAUGUGGUAAGAGUCGGAUGCGAUUUUGAAUUUUGAGAUUUUGAUUGAGCAUUGUUGUAGUAUUUUGCCAUGUUAUGAUAAAUCAUUGGCAAACAUAGUUUUUGACGGCUGCAUAAUAUUCUGCAUAAUAUUCAUAAUAAUGAAUGCUAGUAUAGUUCAUAUUAUAAUUCUUCUACUGUAUUUAUUUAUUUAUUUAUUUUUGAGAUAGAGUCUUGCUUUGUCACCGAGGCUGGAAUGCAGUGGCGCGAUCUCAGCUCACUGCAACCUCCACCUCCUGAGUUCAAGCUGUCCUCCCACCUCAGCCUCCUUCAAUAGCUGUGACUACAGGUAUUCGCCACCAUGCUGGACUAAUUUUUGCAUUUUUUAGUAGAGACGGGGUUUCACCAUGUUGGCCAGGCUGGUCUUGAACUCCUGACCUCAGGUGAUCUGCCCGCUUCGGCCUCCCACAGUGCUGGGAUUACAGGCAUGAGCCACCACGCUCAGCCUUCUUCUACUGUUUAAAUGUUUAGGUUAUAUCCUGUUUCAUUAAUAUUAAAGAAUGCUAUAAUUAAAAACUUUGUGUAUAGAGAAUUUUUCCAUGUUUCAGAUUAUUUAUCCAGGAUGAUGUCUCUAAAAUAAAGCUACUAGAGGUUGAAGUAUCUAGCCCAGGGCCAGCCACAGAAUAGACACAACUUGGUUGAUAACUAUUGUUGUUCAGUGGUGAGUGUUUAUGUAAAGCUCUUCUGCAAUUAAGAACUGCUCCAAAGUCCUUCCUCUAGAACAGCGCUUGAAUAUGAUGUGAGCCACGUAAUUCUCAAUGUUAUAAUAACCACAUUUCAAAAAGCAGACACAGUUGAAAUUAAUUUUAAUAAUACCUUUUACUGGAGCUGGGCAUGGUGUCAGGCCUGUAAUCCCAGCACUUUGGGAGGCCGAGUUGGGCAGAUCACAUGAGCCCAGGAGUUUGAGACCAGGCUGAGCAACAUGGCAAAACCUCAUCUCUACAGACAAAUACAAAAAUUAGCCAAAUAGGUGGUGUGUGGCUGUAGUCCCAGCUACUCGGGAGGCUGAGGUGAGAGGAUCACUUGAGCCUGGGGGGUUAAGGCUGCAGUGAGCCAAGAUUGCACCAGCGUACCCCAACCUGGGUGACAAAGUAAGACCCUGUCUCAAAAAAAAACAUUAAUUAAUUAAAACAAACAUAAAAAUACAUUUUACUUAACCGAUUAUAUCUAAAAUAUUAUUUCAACAUAUGAUUAUAUGUAAUCAACAUAAAAUUUAUCAAUGAGAUAGUCUACAUUUUUUUCCCAUGUAAACCUUUGAAAUCUGAUGUAUAGAUUUUAUGCUUACAACACAGCUCCAUUCAAACCAGCCUCAUUCCCAGUGUUCAGUAGCCACGUGGGUGCCUGAUAGCCACUGUGGACAGUGCAGGUCUAGGGCAAGGAACCCACCAGAGAUAUUUGCCACUGUUGGCAUCUUCACCUAGCCCUGAAAUCCAGCCACCUUUUAAUGCCUCCCCGAACCCCCUUACUGGCGUUCUGGACUGAGGGUGGACCGGGUGGCCAGGUGUGACAUGACUUCUGUACCUGGACAUUUUUACCAGUCGUCCUCAUUCCUGCCUUGACCUUGACCUUAGCCAAUCACAGCAUCCCUCUAUCCCAGUGUGCCUGGCACUGGUUCAUUCAGAGACAUUGCACACUUCCCGCAUGGUAAGCCCUGGGCCUGACCCUAGGGAUACAGGUGGACAAACAGAACUUUCUUGUAAAAUUUAAUUACAGAACUUGUCAGUGUUUUUACGGUCUAGUGGGGGAGACAGACUUUAAUCAAAUCAUCACACAAAUAUAUAUAGUUUCUAAAUGUGGUUAAGUGCUACAAGGGAAAUGCACUUUUAAAAAUGCUAACACUGGGUCAUGGCAUGAGUGGCCCGCCCUGAAGGCAUUUAAUAAAGGUGGCCCAGCCCCUGGCCAGGCUGUCUUAGGGAACAUUCAUGUGAAAGAUGAGAGUGAGAUAAGAGGAUCUCAGUUUCCUUCUGGUAUCCAGGGUCCCUAAGCUACAUUAACAGAGUUUCUAGGACAGACAGUAGCUCACCGGUUCCUGUGUCUGGGGCCCAGUUGAUCAAUUUGUUGUUUGUCAUCUCUAAAAAGUAUUGCGGCCAGCUGGAACAUAAAAGUAAUGAGGAAACAGGCCAGGUGCAGUGGCUCAUGCCUGUAAUCCCAGCACUUUGGGAGGCUGAGGUGGGCGGGGGAUCACCUGAGGUCGGGAGUUUGAGAUCAGCCUCACCAACAUGACUAAAACCUGUCUCUACCGAAAAUACAAAAUUAGCCGGGCAUGGUGGCACACGCCUGUAAUCCCAGCUACUUGGGAGGCUGAGGCAGGAGAAUCACUUGAACCUGGAAGGCGGAGAUUGCAAUGAGCCGAGAUCGUGCCACUGCACUGCAGCCUGGGGAACAAGAGUGAAACUCUGUCUCAAAAACAAACAAACAAAAAAGUGAUGAGGAAGCAGAAGGCUACCCAUUCAUUCAUUCAUUCAUUCAUUUGUUCCUGUGUUCACGCAGCAACUCUCAGUGAGUGCUCUGUGGGAUGCCAGGCAGGCUCUGCACAGUCAGAAUGGCAAAGUCAGCCUUCUCUCUGGCAGAUUACACACUGCCAACUGAACACACUUUUCCGGGGAACAUAUCCACUUAAAAGAGAGGAAAAAUCAAUGCUAAUAGAACUCCUUAUCUGGUUCCAAAAAUGACAUCGUCCGUAGUGGCUGAUGCUUUGAGCCCAUGGCUGCUCUGGAGGCAUGAGCCCUGCAUGGACACAAUUUUGUAAGCUCCUCGAACCUGGCCAAAUCAAUCAAUGAGAGGCUGCAGCAUGGAGAGAGUCUGGGUUCCAGGGGCAAACUGUACCAUUCCUCUUCUAACCUGAAACAGGACGGAGACCCUCCCUUCAACCUCCAGCCCCUAGGGACAGGGUAAUUUCAGCUGCACCUGAUGUACCCUAUACAUCACUGUCUUCUCCACCAGCUCUCAAAUUAAACUCUGAUGUAUAAAGUUAAACAAAAAUGAGAUAAAAUUUGGCAGAGGUUGAAGAGGGUCAAAGUAGUCCAAACAUAAGGUAGACUAUUGCUUCUUUUGAUUUAUGUUAUUCUGUACACUGAGAAAAAAAUAAAAUUAUAAAUCUCCCCGAGACUUUCUCAUUGAGAAUGAGGCAUUGCUAAUUGAUUUUCAAUAGACUCCCAGGGUUUUCAGCUGGGAGGAGCACUAUAGCUGUUGUUUGUAGUGAAGAUGCCAUGGUUCGACCUCGGACAUGUACUGUGAUGAUGUAAAAAUAUCCUGCAAAAUUAACAUCUGCAGGCAGUGAUGUUGAAAACCACCCUGCCUUACCUGGCUCAUGUCACAGACCACAGUGUCUGUCCUUCCUUAUUUUCUUAUUUAAUCCUUGCAAACCCCUAAUAUGUGACACACAGAAUUCACUGUCCCCUUUUGGCAGUUAGGGAAACUGAGGCUUAAAGAAACCACGUGUCUUCAGUAAAUAUUAGCAUGUCUACUAAAUGGCUGGGACACAGAAGUGAACAAGACCAGUACCCUCUCCUAGAGACCUUCUUCCAGUACAAGAGACGAUAAUCAAGUCAAAUGACUAAAUAUAAAGGAUUAUUAGUGUGUAGAAUUAAUUGUGAGGAAAUGGAAGUGGGAAAAGGGAUAGAGAAAAAGGGGUAUAGAAAGCCAAGGGAGGGCCUUAACAAGGGAAUAUUUAACAGUAAAACAGUAAGAUUUACUUUUUUUUUUUUUUUUGAGAUAGGGUCUUGCUCUGUCACCCAGGCUGGAGUUCAGUGGUACUAUCAAAGCUCACUGCAGCCUCAAACUCCUGGGCUCAAACAAUCCUCUCACCUCAGCCUCUCAAGUAGCUGGGAUUAUAGGUACACAACAACACACCUGGCUUAUUUUUUAAUUUUUUGUAGAGAUGGGAUCUCACUAUGUUGUCCAGGCUGGUCUUGAACUCCUGGCCUCAAAGGAUCCUUCUACCUCAGCCUCCCAAAGCACUGGGAUUACAGGCAUAAGCCACCAAGCCUGGCCCAAGAUAUACAUUUUUAAAGGAUGGUGAAGGCUGCUGUGUGUAGAACUAACUCAGGGGGACAAGGGCAACAUCAGAGAGACCAGUUAGUAGGCUGUGCUCAUUUUCUGGACAAGAUAUGGUGGUGAGUUGGGCCAGGUGGUGGCAGGAGUGGUAGGUUGCAGAGCUUAGAACAAUUUUGAAGAUAAGGUGUCUCCAAGGGAUCUGUUCCUGCUCCGUUGCUCUUUCCACAGCACGCUACCUGCAGCUUCUGCUGGUAUCACUGCACCAGACUCUGGAGCACGCUGCUUCUCUGGAGGAGGAUAAAGACAGGGAGGCUAUCUAGGGAGAUAAGACUGCACCAGCAGGCAGCAGGGGCUUCCGAGAAGAGGGCCCCUAGUCCUGGCUGCGUAUGUGCUUGUGUGUGUCACUUGCGAUGUGCAUAAUCAUCUUCAGUCUUAUUUUUCCCAGGUAACUGCAAAAGGUAAUUUCCAGCUCAUUUAGCUCUGUUCUUUCCCUAAGCUCCUCUAGUCUGGCUUUUGUCUCUGCCACUCCUACCAAAACCACUCUGCUCAAGGCCAUGAUCAAUGUCUCCAUUGCCUAGUCCAGGACAGUCAGAGCUGCUCUGGGACAGAUACACCAGAUGCAUGAGUUUCCUGAUAGAGCAGGAUCUCAGUGGAGGCUCGAUGCCCACCUGCCUGAUGCUGUGGGAUGGAUUUCUGCACAGAUGCAACCUCUGUGGGCAGAGGCCAGGAUGAGGCUUAUGUGGCUGUGAAGACAGCCUUUGAUCUGUUUUCUGAUGCAACCACAGUGCUGCAGGCCCUGCUUCAUCUUGGAGGUUUGAUGAGUGCAGACAUGAGAGGUUUCUAGGUAGAGCUGAGCCCUGGGCUCUCGAGUCUCCUCUGUCUGCAUAUCUGCAUGUGGUUGGCAAAGUGCCAGCCAACCUCAGUGCAACCCUCACCAAGUUCUCAAGGAACAGCCUCUGAAAGUCCCUCUCUAUGCUGAGUUCUAGGGAAGGAAAAGGAACUCAGGGAAUAGAAGAGCUGAUCUGCCCAAGUCAUACAUUUCUUGGGGGCACAGGAGGACUACAUCUCUCAUGCUCACUUGAAAUUAACUGUGGCCACUCAAAUUAAGGUUUACCAGAUGGAACAUGAGCGGGAGUGAUGUGUUCUCUCUAAAGGCCUAACCCAUGAAAAACCUAUUGGGAACACUCCCCCAUGCUCUUUUCCAUUCCAUGAGCUGGAUGCAGAUGAUGGCAAGGAACUAGGGUGAGGUGGAACCACAAAACAGAGGGAGCUUGGAUCCCUGAAUGACCACAUGGACAUACACAUACACCAAAGACUGUCUUGUAAGCAAGAAAUAAACAUCUACUGUAUGGAACCUUUGCAUGGAGGGUCUAUUUGUUAUAGCAGCUUAGCUUACCCUGACUAAUACAAUCCCUGCUCUCUGAGAAUUUAAAAUUGCUUCAAGGAGACAAGACUCACUCAUACAAUUCUGGAAUGGUAGUACGUGGCUUCGAAGAAGGGUGGGUUGUAAGGUUUGGACUUUCAGUUCUGAAGUCACAAGCUAUAGGCCCUUGGGUAUUAGACUCUCCUAUUGAAGGCCUUUUUCUGGAAAGCUGGAAGAUAGACUGGGGAGAAGGCCCUUCUGGAAGAGGACACAUUACAAUCAAGGGUUCAAAAGUAGGGCUUGAAGCAAGCAUAGAUGAGAUCAACAAUGUUAAUUCCUAGAAAAUGAAAAAGGAAAAUGGCCUUUAAAUACCUAAGAGCUUUGACUGCUGCAGGGAUGAGACGAAGGCCAGACUUUCAUAACUUCUCUCCUGUGACUUCACACACCUCAGAAGUUUUCUGGUGAGGAGCCCUGAACCUGGGUGUGUGGGGAGUUGGUGUCAGCUUGCUGUUUCUCUCCCAUGCCUUUUCUCCUGGCUAGGAACCCCACUUGUUGUCUGUUUUAACCAAUAACUUAGCUCAGACUUGAAUGCUUGAUUGGAACAGCAAGUCUCCAGCUUUCUGCAGAGGUCUUUGGGGACAGGAAUAUGAUGAAGUUUCUGAGCUGAGGAUUCUAACUGAGACUUCCAGCUCUCAGCUGAACUUCAGACGUGUUCUUUACAGUCACAGCUGUGAAGCUUUUCAGGGCAAGGCCCUGAAAAGCUCAGCUUGGAUCUGUCUGUCCCUACCAGGUUCUGGGGGAAGGGGGAGGAGAGCAGGCAGAACACUCCCAGUUUACAGCCCAGGGAUGCUGAGUCCUGGGGCCAAAGGUGUUGCUCAUCACCCUCGAGCCCUAGAAGUGGCAGGACCUCAGGAGAAUUCAAAGUGGUCUUCCUCUUAGGAAAGAUAAACACUUAUUCCACUGGUUCUCCUCUUCCUGGACACUCCACUCCCUUCUUCCCAGACUCACACACCUCCUAACUGCACCCCAAUGAAUGGUGCUUCUCUGGGUCCCCCACAGACAAACAUUGGGGAGCAGCCACUAAAGACUUGGGUUCUGGUUCCAACUGCUGAUUUUGAUUAAGGGUGUGACCUUGGCCCUCUUCAUCCCCCUCUCUUCUUCCCCUGUUCAUUCACAGCUGCUUUUGUUAAUAUUCAUGGUGCAUUAUGUAACUAUUGUUCACAGUUGAGCCAAGUAGUGUACUAGACUUGCUUGGUUGGUUUCAUUCUCCUUUUGUUUUCCCUGAAGCCAAUAAUCAACUCAUUUUCAUUUGCUUGGUGUUGUUUGCACAGAUGAUUAAGUUUUCCCUUACCUACCUGCAGCCUGUCAAGACAAUUUUCCACAAGAUUGAACAGAUCAGAAAAUCCACUGGGAGCAGUUUCUUCUUCUUCUUGGAGGUGUCCCCUCUGUAGGCCUCUGACGUUCCAGUUCAGUUCCCUGUUUGGGCAACAGCACAACUAUCAUAUGGGCUUUUCUUCACCUCCAGCUUGGAGAAUUUCUUUACUUCUCUCAUCCAUUGGAUCCACUGCUUCCUGGAGCCGAUGCCUUUCCCUCCUUGGUUUCAUCCCUUCUUUUGUUGGUGCACAGCCCCCAGCAGCUGUCUGCUAAUGCAGGGAUGACAUCUGGGGGUUAAGCUAGCAGGACAAAGGAGCUUCUGCCAUUUCUCUUCUGGAUAAUCAUCCCCCAACAAACAACAACAGCAGCAAAUAAAUAAAACAAGAAGAAUGUGAAAGAGAAAUGCAAAUUUCAUUUUAUACAAAAUAAGCAGACAGACACAACCCAGUACUGCAAAGAGUGGAAAAUAGGUGGGAGAGAGUCGAAGGACCUUGUUCUGCUAGGUGUCUGCAGCAGGGCAGAAGCCGAUCUACCAGGCAGAACCCCAGAGUAGCUCAGGAAUCCAAGAUGCCACACAAGGCAAAGUGAGGUGUGGCAGGUCACAGGUUGCAGGCCUCCAUGGGGAAUAGCUAGGCCCCCAGGUUCCCACCCCUGAGCCUGACACCUUCCCCUGUCCUUUUGGAAGACGGGAAGAGGAUCCAGGCAAGGGCCAGGGUGAACACAAACCAAAACGAGGGGGAUUGGGGGAAGUUUACUCUUGUACACAGUCCCCCAGCUCUUUUCUGUCUGGCUCAUGGUCCAGGAGCAGAGGUAGGUCAUGGGUCACCUUUUCUUUAUGUCCUACAAGAGGUAUGAAUUUUAACACAUGCACUGGUUGUGUAACCAGAACUUCAAUCAGGAUACAGAAGAGUUCCAUCCCCUCCUGCCCCCGACUCCCUCAUGUUACCCCUUUUAUAGACAAACACUCCCUCCACCCCUUGCCCCUGGGAGCCACUGAUCUGUUCUCCAUCACUGCAAUGUUGUCUCUUUAAGAAUGUCACAUAAAUGGAGUCAUGUCAUAUGCUACCUUUUGAGACUGGCUUCCUUCACUCGGCAUAAUGCCUAUUUAUUUAUUUAUUUAUUUAUUUAUUUAUUUAUUUAUUGAGACAGAUUGUUGCUCUUGUCGCCUAGGCUGGAGUGCAGUGGCAUGAUCUCGGCUCAUUGCAACCUCCACCUCCUGGGUUCAAGCGAUUCUCCUGCCUCGGCCUCCCAGGUAGCUGAGAUUACAGGCAUGCACCACCACACCCGGCUUAUUUUGGUAUUUUUAGUAGAGACAGGGUAUCACCAUGUUAGUCAGGCUGGUCUCAAACUCCUGACCUCAGGUGAUCCAACUGCCUCAGCCUCCCAAAGUGCUGGGAUUACAGGCGUGAGCCAACGUACCUGCCCAAUGCCUUUGAGACUCAUCCAAAUUAUUUCACGUAUUAGGAAUUUAUUUUUCCUUAUUUCUGAGUAGUGUUUCAUUGUAAGGAUGUACCACAGUGUGUUUAUCCAUCCACCCCUUGAACGACAUUUUGGGUUGUUUCUAGUUUUGACAGUUAUGAAGACUAUUGCUACAAACAUUUGCAUACAGGGUUUUGUGUAAAAACAGAUUUUUAUUUCACUGGAGUAAACACCCAAAGGUGGGAUUACUGGGUCCUAUGGAAAGUGUAUGUCUAAUCUUAUAGGAAGCUACCAAACAUUUUUUCAGAGUGGCUGUACUGAUUUUUAUUCCCACCAGCAAUAUAUAAGAGUCUUGUUGUUAGACAUGUUUGCCAACACUUGGUAUUGACAGUAUUUUUUUAAAAAAUGUUAUCAUUUUAAUAGGUAUAUAGUGGUAUCUCACUAUGACUUCAAGUUGCAUUUCCCUAACAGCUAAUUAUGUUGCACAUUUUUAUGUCCUUAUUUGCCAUUCUUACAUCUUUUUGGUGAGUGUCUCUUCAAGUCUUUUGCUCAUUUUAAAAAUUGAGUUGUUAGUAUACUUACUGUUGAGGCCUGCGUGUUCUUUACACAUUAAAUAUUCAAGUUCUUUUAAAAAAAAAAUACAGGGGCCUUUUGUAUUCCCUAAACUGGAAUGCAGUGGCAUGAUCAUAGUUUACUGUAGCCUUGAACUCCUGGGAUCGAGGGAUCCUCCCACCUCAGCCUUCCAACUAGCUGGGACUACAGGUGCAUGCCAUCAGGCCCAGCUAAUUUUUAUUUUAUUUUUUGUAGAGGAGGGGACUUGCUUUGUUGCUCAGGCUGGUCCUAAACUGCUGCCCUCAAGCAAUCCUCCUUCCUUGGCCUUCCGAAGGCAUGAGAAUUACAGGCAUGAGCCACUGUGCCUGGCCCAUAAAGAUGCAAGUUCUUUGAUGAAUAGGUUACUUACUAUUUUUUUUGUCCCAAUCUAUAGCUUCUGGUUUCAUUCCUUUAAUUGUCUUAUAUAGAGCAAAAGAUGUUUUUGUUGUUGUUGUUUUGUUUGUUUGUUUGGCAGAGCCUUGCACUGUCACCCAGGCUGGAAUGCAGUGGCAUAAUCUCAGCUCACUGCAGCCUCUGUCUCCCAGGUUCAAGCGAUUCUCCUGCCUCAGCCUCCUGAGUAGCUGGGAUGACAGGCGCCUGCCACCACGCCUGGCUAGUUUUUUGUAUUUUUAGUAGAGAUGGGGUUUCAAUCAGUUGGCCAGGCUGGUCUUGAACUCCUAGCCUUGUUAUCCGCCUGCCUCGGCCACCCAAAGUGCUGGGAUUACAGGCGUGAGCCACCGCGCCCAGCCUAGAGCAAAAGAUUUUGAUUGUGAUCAUGGACGCCAUCUUCAAACUGAUUCCCGUCUCCAUUAAUGUGCAUUUAUUGAGCACCUGUAGUAUACAGGUCCCUGUUGGGGGUUGAGCUUUACAAGACUGAUGGAACCUGGUGCUCAGAGCAUCCUCUAAGAUCUUUGCCCUUCCCCAGGGGAGGAGGUGCUGGUUUAGACCCAUAGCCCUGAGGGAAGUUCGGGACUUACUUAGGUUUUUCAACCCCAACUAUCCUCAGCUUCAAACCAAUGCCACCGAAUUACCCCCUGAGCAUUCCUGUCUUACCCACCCUCCUUUGCCUAAGCCUUGUUUUCCUUCACUCAAGCAUUGAUCUCCUCCUUCCUUCCUGGGUUAACCUUGCCUACAAUUCAAAGCUCAGCUGGGAUAAUCCAUCAGGCCUGAAAGCUUCUCCAACCCAAAGUUUCUAUCUCUCUGUCUAUGGCCUUGUUUGAUUAUAUCAUCUUUUCUUCCCACCUGGUAGGGUUUUGGGGAUUAAAUAAUAUGAAGCAUAUAGACAUGUGCAGCAAAAAGCCUAUUAGAAAGUAGAUUUUCCAUGCAAGUUGCUACAAAAUCAAAUAAGUUCCCAGUUCCUGAGAACCCAAGGUUUGAUAUGGUUUGCCUGUGUCUCCACCCAAAUCUCAUCUUGAGUUGUAGUUCCCACAAUUCCCAUGUGUCAUGGGAAGGACCCAAUGGGCAUAGGUCUUUUCUGUGCUGUUCUCAUGGUAGUGAAUCUUUCUCAGGAGAUCUGAUGGUCUUACAAAGGGGAGUCCCCCUGCACACACUCUCUUUCCUGCUGCCACGUAAGACAUGCCUUUGCUCCUCCUUGCCUUCCACUAUGAUUGUGAGGCCUCCCCAGCCUUCUGCCACUGUGAGUCCAUUAAACUUUUUCCUUUGUAAAUUACCCAGUCUCCAGUAUGUUUUUAUCAGCAGCAUGAAAAUGGACUAAUACAAAGUUCCCUCUAAUUCUAUGUUAGAAGCCUGUUUUAGAAGGGCUUCCACGAUUAUUUUAAUGAGAGCAAACUGGUUCAUGAGUACACCGGGCAACACACGGGCACUUUCACAGGAAAGUUAAGAGCAUCUUCCGCCAAAGGAGAGCCAGAGGCCAGUCAGGAAAAGGAAGGAUUUCUUAAUAAUAGGAGGUCUUUCGCUAUUCCAGUGUCCUGCCGCAAAAUGAUAGUACAGACCUGGCUGCUAGUCCCCUAGAGUGCCCAGUGCUUCCUUUUCUAGAACUGAGACAAAUAAAAAGUAAACUCCAGUUCUGGAGUCCUGUUUUGCAGGCCCCGUUCCCAAAUGUCAGCUCCUAAUGGGCAACAGCUGCCUCUGUGGUUUCUUCUAGGCAAGUGAUUCAUGUCUUUGCUCAGAAACGAUAAGCAGAACAAAUGUUUGCUUAGACAUAUAACAGAGGGACAAUUGGAAAACAGGAGACUGGCAACUGGAAAUAGUUUGCAGCUAUUUGAUCCAUGAUAAUUAGUCUGAAUUAGUCAUAUGGUGCUCACUGGCCAGGCCUUUGGGCCAGAGGCAGCGUGGGGGAAUAGACAGCUGGUCUUCCUGGAAAAGAAGUGCAGAAGGGAACAUAGCAGACACAGAGGUUUGCUCAGAACACGUCAGAUUGGCUCUUGCCCUCUCAAAGGUGACCCGUCUUGACCAUCUGCCUUAGUUGCACUCCAUACCGGAUCCGGGUCCCCAGCCUGGAAAUGAGUGGAGAGGCAGAAACUACACACCCAUGGGAGAUGCCUCUAAAAUCCAUUAACAAUUUUUUACACACUCAGAAGUUAAAGUAAACAAUAGGUUGAAUUUUGUGUGUGUGCAGGUGGGAAAAAGCUUCAAAAAUAUCCAGACACCCACAUUCAUUGGAUUUUAAUCUUAGGGAUCAUGUUAGGUAUACUGACUCAUUUAAGAGAUAUAUGGACCUUGAAUUUGGAACCUAAAAGUGGGACUUUGAGUGGAAUUUUCAGUCUGAUUAUGUUGAUAUAAUUUAAGAUCUUGUAGCCUACAUUAUACUUAUACAGAAUGUACUCCUGUGGUCAUGCUCCAAUACAUUAUUUAGCAGAUCUAUCAUAAAUAUUUUUCUUUCUGUGAGAAAAGGUUUCACUCUGUCCCCCAGGCUGGAGUGCAAUGGCACAAUCAUGGCUGACUACAGCCUCAACCUCCUGGGCUCAAGCAAUCCUCCCACCUCAGUCUCCCGAGUAGCUGGGUCUACAGGUGCCCUCCACGACCACGCCCAGCUAAUUUUUUUUUUUUUUUUUUUUUUUUUUUUUUUGUAGAUACUGGGUUUCGACAUGUUGCCCAGGCUCGUUAUCAUGAAUAUUUCUAUGAGAAGGGAGAAAAGUCAGAUACAUUCAAUAUUUCAGCCAAAAAAAAGAAAAGCUACAUUUUUGUCAAAAACUUCUCAGACCAUUUUUUGCAGAGUCAGGAGGAAAAACAAAAAGUGAAGCCCACAAACCCGACCCCCUCCUCACCUCAGAUUAGAAUCUGUAAUAUUGGAGGCCUCUGGGAGUAGAAUUUAAGUCACUAGGAAGGUGGACACAUCGGCAAAGCCAGCCCGGAGCUGAGUAGGGCAUCGACUGCUUUACCAGCAAACAUGAACGAAGCUAAUUUUG
rnacentral:lncRNA from 1 species